CCUCCAAUAAAUAUAAUGUUUUUUUUGUGAAAAAAUACUUAAUAUUUUUAUAAAAUAUGGUUAACUAGUUAUAUAUUAUUUCUCUUUUAAUAUAGUAAAUAAUUUAAAGUCGUCGCAAAAAAAGUUAAUUAAAUUUUUAUAAAAAUAUUGUGAUACAUAUUAUUUUAUUAAAUAAAAUUAUAAUUUUAUUGAAGAUUGCAGGUUAUUCUCAAAUUGGAAUAUUUCAAAACCGUAAUAGGACAAAGAAAGAGACGAAAAGGAUGCUUAAAAUACUUGGUAUUCUGGUCUAUUCCAAUGCGGCCUAUCUCCGAAUAGGCCAAUUCGGGGAUAGGAAUUUCCUGAACCGGCUAAUCACAUGGCAGAACCAUUUUGAAGAUUUUCCUGAAAUAAGAAAAAACAUAUUUAUGUACAUACUAAAAAUCAAAGACGGAGUAGAGAGCUUUGCAUCAUAAAAAAAAAUUAAGAUUUGAGUUUAUAUUUGUUAGUUCUUAGAAACAAAUCUUAGCAAUAAAAUCUUAUAAAUACCACUUAAAGUUUUGAAAGAAAAUGACAAUAAUAAAAAUGUAAUAUGAAAAACAAGGAAAAAUACAAAUCGAAAAAAUAUAAAUAUAGUAAUUAUAAACUAACAGAAAGGGCAACAACACCGACACCUACAUCCAAUGAUUUAAUAAGACAAGCUGUGUACCGGUUAUAAACAAAAUCGAACCAGACAAUAGUCAAACAGAACCUAGCACUAAAAAACCCAAACAGGAAACUAAAUCACUAGAAACGAACCAGAAAAAAAAUCGAACAGGAGAAAAAGGACCCAAAACCACAACCAAAAUAGCUGCGAAUGGGUAAAAAAUCGACACAAAAAACAUGAGGACAGACUUAACUAAAAUCGAAAUAAUACCAAACCAUAGCCAACGUACCCAAACUAAAUUGAAACGAACCAUACCAACUCGACACGAAACCAAUCAAACCACUAUAACGGAGCCGAUGCAGAAUGAGCCCAUGACAGACCAAGUUCACUAACUGUUAAAACAGAACCAUUAUCCCGAGCACCAAGACUCAAAACCUGAACCUAAAAACAAACCCACUAUCACAAACCAAAAAGAACAGGAAACCUAUCCCACAUGACAAACAACAAGACCAAUACCCACAAACCAAAAAAGAAGCCACUAUACCCUGAACCGAACCCGACCCAAAUCACCGAAAAUUACAAAACUUACGCGGAACACAAGCCCAAACGAUAAAAUCGAAACUCGAUAACCCAAGCCACAAUAGUUUUUUGCUAAGCAAAAAAUAAAAAGAAAUAGAUUGUAAGACAAUAGCUAAAAUAGUUAACAGAGGGAUACACAAAAUUCAAAAAUAAAGAACAUAUACUAGAAGAUAAACAAUCAAAAAGAACGACCAAACUUAGAUCAAUAGACUUGAAACACGAAACGAAACUGUGAAUUGUAAAGCAAAAAACAAAACUCCUAAAAAAAACCCACUGAAAUACGAGUAAAAAAACAUAUAGAUUUGAAACUAAAACAGAAAUGACAAGGCAAAAGAAAAUUUUGAACUUAAGAUUCAUACCUGAAUAUCAGUCUACAAUGAAGCAGGGGAUUUCAAUAUCAAUAAAAACAGAAACCGCAGAGAAAAACUUUGGAUCUCUCCCUCUCACGAAAACUCUCUUCCUACUGUCGCUUAACAGAAAAAAUAGAAAAGAGGCCGAGAGGAAAAAAAAUUGUUCAUUUUAUU
rnacentral:lncRNA from 1 species